GGAGGGAGAUGGAGGAGGAAGACAAGGAACCCAGCCGCCUGAAAAAAAAAAAAUGAAGAAAGUGACGGCAUCUGGCCAGCAGACCUUCCCUUUGGGGUUCUAACACCCUACACCUUGAAAAUGACCUGAAGCCCUAUAAAGUGAGGGAAGAUCCACCCCUUUCCCUGAAGAUGCUUUUGUUUCAAGUAAGUGUCUUCUAGCACUUGUCUACUGUGAUGGAUAACUUUGUGUGUCACCUCGACUAGGCCACAGGUCUCCAGAUACGUGGUAAGCAAUAUGUCUGGGUGUGUCUUUGAGGGGUUUCCAGAUGAGGAUAGCAUUUGAAUGUCAACUGAAGCAAGCAGAAUACCCUGGCCUGGGGAGCAGGCAUCAUCCCAAAUUCACACAGAGCCUGAAGACAGCAAAAGCUGAAGGUCAGGAGCAGGUCUGUUUUCUCCUGACCUAGGCUGCUAGUUGCUCUCCAGACCUUCCACUAGAGCUUACAGGAUUCACUUUUCUGAUUCCUACUGGCUCCUCUGGGUCGCCAGCCUGCUGACUGCAAACUGUGUGACUUCUCCAGAGGCCAACUCCUCAGGAUAAAUCUCUCAUACCGCCACUUGUUCUGUUUCUCCAGAGGACCCGGAUGUAUGUGCUGCAUGGACGAGGGGCAGCCCCACCCGUGAUAUCAUCCACAUGAGUUUAAAGCCUGCACUUGUCUCAUGAGGCAAGACCUUCAGGUAAUAUAUGAUGCUCUUAUUGGUUUUCUUUGCUUUGCUAACCUUGAAAGUAAAUAGUCAAAGAGGAACUUUCUUUCUCAAAAAGGCUGUCUUUAGCAUCUCCUCGAAGGGCUCAAUGCCAAAAGGUACUAAUGUGACCAUCCUCACAGCAAAUAUCUCAUAAAGAAAGGAUCGCUAGGAACUAUAAUAGAAAUGAACAAGCAGAUCUUCUGAACGAGAAUAAGGCUGCUUCACAGAGACGGAGAAUUCCCAAGAUCCCCCACUGCAGCUCACUCGCCAUACUGGAGACUGAACUGAGACUCUGGAGCCAAUCUGAGCUAUCUACUUAUCUCAAGAAACCAAUCAAGGAAAAAUUCCCUAGAAAAUAUUUAAUUUUAAUAAAGUCUUUUGAAAGUAUA